rnacentral:miRNA from 1 species
AUGUAUGUAUAUGUGUGUGUAUACACACAUAUACAUGUGUGUGUGUAUAUACAUAUAUAUACACACACGUGUACAUAUA